GAAAUUUCCGACGGAAUUCCGAGGAAAUAUGAAUUUCCGAGGAGAUAUUUCCGAGGACUUUUUUCGUCGGUAUGUCCUCGGAAUAGCGUUAUUCCGACGAUAUACCGACGAUUUUUUCCUUCAGUAUGCCGAUGUUUUCUUGUAGUGUCUUACGAUUAAAUCAAUGUAUCAGACUAAGAAUAUAUAUAGAUCUAAAUUGGAUUAAACCAAUAUAAUACAACAAAGAGAAUUGAUGUUUCUAAUGCGACAAAGAUUUAUGGAUCACAAGAAAAUCAAUAGAGUUGAUACUCUAUUAAGAGUUGGACAUCAUUAUUCCUUAAUCGUGUUAAACUUUAUGCUCGACUCGUAUCCACCUUGAAAAGUUAAGUACUUGGCGUUGUGAAGACAAGUAAUAAGCUGAAAAUUUUCAUUACUUGCAAGACCAAGUCAAAUAUCAUUAUAUUUUUUAAUAUUACUUAACUCGUUAAUGUCCCAUCACUUGAUACUUUUUACAUACUUGUUACUUGUCAAUAAUACUUGUCUUUUACUUACAUUUAUGGUUGGACACAAAUACUCAUUACUCAUUUUAUACUUGUUACUUGUUUUAUAUCGUCUUGACUCUUCAAGUACUUGUCAUGAUCAGUCGAGUAUUUAAUAGCAAAAUUUAGAUACUUACAAGUAUAUUUUUUUUGAACAAAGAUACUAACAAGUCCAAAACAAGUAACAAGUUUUUAAAAAUAUUAGUUGUUUGGCGUGCAAAGUAGUAACAAGUACUCAUUUUUAACAAGUCAAAUACAAAUUUAAAUUUUUAUUACUCAUGCAAGGUAAAUCAAAUAUCUGAGUGUUCGCGUUAAAAACGACUUUUCAAUGAGAAUCAUCUUCUCACUCUAUUUCAUGAGUUUUGUUGUUUUUCUCAUCAUCUUACCUAUUUUAUUUGUAUUUUUAUUUUUAUUGUACGUCAUUGUAAAAUUUCUUACAAUAUCAUUAAUAACGUUAAGUUUUUAUAUAAUAAAACCUUAUGGGUUCAUUCUCACUCCUUAAAAAACUGCAAUAUGUAAUGCAUAUAAUUUAAUAAAUCACCUUUUGGCAAAUAAUAGUUAAUCUUAUUAUAUAAAUCUUGGUUCUUCAAAGUUGCUAAUUAACCUAAUCGCGACACAGGGAAAUUAUAUAUUUUAGGAUUGUAACAUGUGUCAAUCAUCUCAUAAUUAAAAAUAUAUAUACUAAGAUGUUAAUAAAAACAAAUUUUAUUAAAAAUAAUUAAAAUAUUAUUUAAUAGUAAUUUCCUUUUUUUAAAUCAUAAUCAAAAGAUAAUUGCAAAAGACUAUUUGGUAAUAAUUUUUCUUAUAAUGUUGUGAAAUAUGUUUAAAUAUAUAAUAAUUUAAAAUAUAUAUAAUAAGAUAAUAAAAACAAAUUUUGAUAAAAACUACUUUAAAAAUUAUUUAAUAGUAAAAAAUAUUUUUUUUAAAAUACUUUGUAGUAAUUAUUUUAGAAAUUUUCUUAUUUUAAAAUCCUAAAAAAAUAUGUGAAAACAAUUU